CUAGUUUCAUUUCUCUUCUUUAAGCUCAAAUUCCUAAUUCAUUAACAGCAGACCUCAGCACUGCAGAGGAAAUUCCCUAUUUCAGCUCAUCAUAAAAGAAAUUAAUUCAUGGCAGAAGAUCUGUGGAGCACCAUAAACUCCAGGAGAAUUAAACAGAGAGAAAAAUGACAAACAAAGAGAACAAGAUCAAAUCUACUAUCGAACCAGGAGAGAAACAGAUGCUGAGACAAGACAAGAGAAGCAGCAUUAAUAGCAGAAAACCAAACUUUUCUGAUGAUGCAGAGAGUUUGUUUCUUAAUGUCUCUCAGAAAAGACAGGAGCAGUUCCUUUCACCAGACCAGCAGAAUAUUCUUUAUAUUCAGUCUCUGAUUAAACACUGUAUAUUUGACAUUAUUUAUAAAGUAUUUAUGUAAUUUUAGUGUUAUUAAACAUUAAAGAUAUUAGAGAACUCAUAUCAACUUCAUACACUGUAAAAAUUUCAUACAUUGUUUCUACUUCAGAAUGGCAUGUUAAUUCAAUGUGUUACUUGCUGUUUCUUUGUAAUUAUUUGUGAAAUGUGCUACCAAUUUCGGAAUGAAAUUUGUUUCUACAACAGUUUUUCUGUAUAAAUAUGACUGACAUCAUAAUAUGAAUAAGUUUUAUGCAUUUUUCUGAAAUAAUGUGCAUCACUAUUUUUCCUUAAUUAUUUUUUACAAA